AACAAAGUGAAAGAUGCAUGAUUCUGGUAACCACAACAGUUGUUGAUCCAAGGACAAUGGUGAUCCAUCUUCAUGACACAUCUGUUACACUUUCGACAGUGGUGUGAACGUGGUGCCUUGUAAGACUGACACACUUUACAGUACUGGAGAUACAUGCAAUCCUGAGAUUUUUCCCGGGGCCGACAAACAUGGCGUUGAAGUAGUUGUAGAGAAUCAUGACUGUCCAGUUGAGGAGCAUGAUGAAGUUGACGCUCCCCCCGGCCGUGUCCAGGGGCCAGUACCACAGCACGGCGUCCGCGAUGGCGGUGGCGGAGCAGACGAUCACCACGGACAGGGCCACCAGCGGCCCCCAGUGGCACAGCCGCCGCACCUCCCGCAGCCCCCCGGGGCCGCCCAUGGCCGCUACCGCCGCCCGCCCGACGCCUCCUCGCCGCCGCGCAUGGCUCCCUCGGCCCCUCGCCGUCCCGCCGGGAGGAACGGGAAAGGGAAGGGGAGGCGUUGGGG
rnacentral:lncRNA from 1 species